AGCAAUCUUCAUGUUUAGUUUAGUCUAUCUUGUUUACAUGUAGCUGCUCUUUUAUUUUUGUGCGCAUGACACUAACAACUACUGAAAUGUGCCCAUUUGCAAGAAAACUUGCGAGUCGAACAAGGCUAAUCGAGCAAAAGUCCAGUUUCAACAGAAGACUGGUUCAAGGUCCUACACUGCACAUAUUUAUGCUCUUAAUGAGGAACGCAAGGGUGAACCACUGUCCGCAAUUGACUACUUCAAGGCCACUCACAAUGGCAAGACUGGAUAUGCGGAGCCAGUUCAAAAAGCCAUAGCUGAAAUGGAAAAGAGGAUGGUUGCACCGUUACAAGAAGGUCAGGAGCAAAAGUCCGCUACCGCAAUUGUUGCUGAGGUACUUACAGAGCAACGCCCUGCAAGCACAUUCCU